rnacentral:rRNA from 2 species
UUGACCUCGGAUCAGGUAGGGAUACCCGCUGAACUUAAGCGCGGAGGAAAAGAAACCAACAGGGAUUGCCUCAGUAACGGCGAGUGAAGCGGCAAAAGCUCAAAUUUUAAAGCUGGCAUCUUCGGUGUCCGCGUUGUAAUUUUGUGAGGCAUCUCCGGGUAGGGCGCCGGCCUAAGUUCCUUGGAACAGGACGUCACAGAGGGUGAGAAUCCCGUGCUUGGCUGGCUGUCCCCGUCCAUGUGAGGUGUCUUCGACGAGUCGAGUUGUUUGGGAAUGCAGCUCAAAAUGGGUGGUAAAUUUCAUCUAAAGCUAAAUAUUGGUGGGAGACCGAUAGCGCACAAGUAGAGUGAUCGAAAGAUGAAAAGCACUUUGAAAAUAGAGUUAAAAAGUACGUGAAAUUGUUGAAAGGGAAGCGCUUGAGACCAGACUUCGGUAGGGGGUGAUCAGCCGUCCUUCUGGGCGGUGCACUUGCCCCCCUCCGGGCCAGCAUCGGUUGAGGCGGCGGGAUAAAGGUCCCGGGAAUGUGACUCCUCUCAAGGGAGUGUUUAUAGCCCGGGUGAAUGCCGCCAGCCCCGACCGAGGACCGCGCCCGC